CAAGAGAGGUUUGACAACAAUAAGAACUGCUAAUUCUUUCCCCCUGGGUUUAAUUCCCCGGCUCACUUGA
rnacentral:tRNA from 1 species